CAAAUUAAAGCUUUAAAAGCAUUUUAGUUACAUUAAAAAGUUAGUUGUAUUAAUCAAUUUAAUUUGA
rnacentral:tRNA from 1 species